rnacentral:rRNA from 1 species
GAGUUUGAUCCUGGCUCAGGACGAACGCUGGCGGCGUGCCUAAUACAUGCAAGUCGAGCGAGGGUUUUUAAGACCCUAGCGGCGGACGGGUGAGUAACACGUAGGCAACCUGCCUUUCAGACCGGGAUAACAUAGGGAAACUUAUGCUAAUACCGGAUAGGUUUUUGGAUUGCAUGAUCCGAAAAGAAAAGAUGGCUUUUGGCUAUCACUGGGAGAUGGGCCUGCGGCGCAUUAGCUAGUUGGUGGGGUAACGGCCUACCAAGGCGACGAUGCGUAGCCGACCUGAGAGGGUGACCGGCCACACUGGGACUGAGACACGGCCCAGACCCUC